UACGAAGGGGGCUAGCGUUGCUCGGAAUUACUGGGCGUAAAGCGCACGUAGGCGGUUUCUUAAGUCGGGGGUGAAAUCCUGGAGCUCAACUCCAGAACUGCCUUCGAUACUGGGAGACUUGAGUUCGGGAGAGGUGAGUGGAACUGCGAGUGUAGAGGUGAAAUUCGUAGAUAUUCGCAAGAACACCAGUGGCGAAGGCGGCUCACUGGCCCGAUACUGACGCUGAGGUGCGAAAGCGUGGGGAGCAAACAGG
rnacentral:rRNA from 1 species